rnacentral:rRNA from 1 species
AAGCGCUUGCAACCAGACUUGCAUGCUGUCGAUCAUCCAGUGUUCUCACUGGUGCACUCGAUUGCAUUCGGGCCAGCAUCGGUUUUGGUGGUUAGAUAAAGGCCUUGGGAAUGUAGCUUCUCUCGGGGAGUGUUAUAGCCCAUUGUGUAAUACCCUGUGGUGGACUGAGGUUCGCGCAUCUGCAAGGAUGCUGGCGUAAUGGU